ACACACCGGGAUAUGACAACAUAUCCUUUAUAUUCGUAUAUAUAUUGUAUCCUGAUUGAUUCAUAUUCAAUAUCAUAUUCAUAUCUGGUAAGCCCCGCCCACAUUUCCCCUCCGUCUGUCUGUCUCUGUCUCUCUCAGCCUCAAGUUAGCUAUUUCUGCAUCGACACUUUGGAUUAUGCCAAACACACAUCAACUCUGAUGGACAUAUUCUAUAAUUAGAUGACAAUGAAAGAGAGUUAUCAAGAUGUCGAUCAGAAAGUCUUAAUAACUCCCAAUAUGAACAUGUAAGAACUAUUCCAGCCACUUCUAGAUGUAUAAUUAAAGAGUUUCUUGUGUAUUUUUGGUUUUAUACAGACCAUUUACAUCUGAAAACAAAUGAUUGAUUCAUAUUGCCAUUUUAUUAGUUCAUUGGUGGCCACUGGCCAGUGUACCUGUAGUAACACCGGGCCAGCAGGGGUGAUGCCCCGAGGUUAGCCUUAAACACCACGUACAGAGCUAGCUUACUUCUAAGGACGUAUUGCCAAACCAACCACACAGGAACAAUGUUAUUCGAAGACUUGGUUAAAUCACUAUUUGGCAAUUAUUUGACUUCAGUAACGAGCUAAGGGGGCUUUCUCAACUGGAAGUGUUGUUCUUACAACUAUAGCCUUCAAACGACAGACCAGUAACACUUCACAUGCAUUUAACUAACAGUUAACUAACUAUUAACUAAUGGCCUGGUAUUCAUUGACAAAUGGUGUUCAUUUUAAAUAAGGUAAUGGAGUUCAUGUUAACUAAGGUAUUCCUUUCUUCAUUAUUUAAUAGGGUUAGGGUUAAGCCUAACCCCUAUGCUAAUGCUAUAUAAUAAUGCUUAUACUGCAUUAACUAAUGUUAAUGGUUAAUCAACGUGCCGUCAUUGUCAAGUGUUACAACGGACCAUUUUUUGUUAAGUUUGUAUGAUUGCUCAUUUUGUAUGGACCGAAAAAAGGCAUUAUAUGAUGGACACAAUUGGUCGAAUAUCAGAACGUCAGACGUCUCUGCUCUGCUUACCAGGACGCUGCCAUUCACUUUGAGUUUCGACAGUUGGGUAAACGUGUCCUGUUGGGAUGAAAGUGUUCUGGUUUUCUGUUCCCAUGAUGAAGAAAUGGUUGUUUUCGGUAUCAUUAAGGGGUUGAUUUAGGUAUAGUUAAAAAAGUGGUUUAGGUAAAGGGAUUGUCAGGUUUAGGUAAUGAGAUGGUUAAGUUUAGGUAUAAUAUAAGAGAUGGUUAAUCUUAGGUAUUGGAGAUGGUUAAGUUUAGGUUUCAGAUGGUUUAGUACAGGCACUCGUUUGGAGACGGUUGCGAUAAGAUGUGACUUUGGCGCGGUUGAAACCAGGGUAAAGAUCUGGGGAGUGCAAUGCAUCAUGGGAUUCAUUUCCAUAACAGUCAGAGAGACAUCUUGAUUUUGGCCCACUUUCAUGCCGAUGCCUUCUUCCCCUUCAUCAGAACAAACCCUAUCCAGCCUUAAUCCUACGGAAGAAUGUGUGAGAGCUCUUUCUGCUUGGGACUUUUCAACAUAUGAAUGGUCACCCUGACACGUCCCUCUUUGUCGUUGUUAUGCACGUCAGCGAGACUGCUGCACCUUUUAUAAACCGUCCCUUGUCUAUGAGGACUCAUGAGGAGACACCAACUGUAAACUGUGAAGAACAUGUGAGUGUGCUUUUUGUGCGGCGUUGAGACUUUGGAGAUAUACGCAAACAUCCCACUGUCGGCGUGUAAGUGUUGUGGUAUUUGGUUGAAGACGUAACGGUGUGGUUCCUUGUUUGUACCGAAGCGUGAAUUAGCUUCAUUGUGUUUAAAACCAACAUGGUGGCUGUUGCCUUUUUUUUCACUCUGAAUGUUCUCAGCGUUUUUUGUCUUUAAACACCUUUUAUCAGCUGUUAAAUAAAAAUAUGUUUGUUAUAAAACUGUAAGUUCUUCUCAAUAUGGUGUGUUAUGUAAUGCAAUGCUGGUUUGGUGUGUAACUCGAGCGGACACACACACACACACACACACACACACACACACACACACACACACACACACACACACACACACACACACACACACACACACACACACACACACACACACACACACACACACACACACACACACAACAACA